GAUGAACGCUAGCUACAGGCUUAACACAUGCAAGUCGCGGGGCAGCAUGGGGGUUGCUUGCAAUCCCCGAUGGCGACCGGCGCACGGGUGAGUAACGCGUAUCCAACCUGCCCUUCACCACGGGAUAACCCGGCGAAAGUCGGACUAAUACCGUAUGUUGUCCAUUGACGGCAUCCGAUUUGGACGAAAGGCUUGGCGGUGAGGGAUGGGGAUGCGUCCGAUUAGCCAGACGGCGGGGUAACGGCCCACCGUGGCUACGAUCGGUAGGGGUUCUGAGAGGAAGGUCCCCCACACUGGAACUGGGACACGGUCCAGACUCCUACGGGAGGCAGCAGUGAGGAAUAUUGGUCAAUGGGCGUAAGCCUGAACCAGCCAAGUAGCGUGCAGGAUGACGGCCCUAUGGGUUGUAAACUGCUUUUAUGCGGGGAUAAAGUGGCCCACGUGUGGGCUUUUGCAGGUACCGCAUGAAUAAGGACCGGCCAAUUCCGUG
rnacentral:rRNA from 1 species